rnacentral:tRNA from 1 species
GGCCCCGUAGCUCAGCAGGAUAGAGCGGCCGCCUCCUAAGCGGCAGGUCACAGGUUCGAAUCCUGUCGGGGUCGCCA